rnacentral:rRNA from 1 species
CUCAGGACGAACGCUGGCGGCGUGCCUAAUACAUGCAAGUCGAACGAACUCUGGUAUUGAUUGGUGCUUGCAUCAUGAUUUACAUUUGAGUGAGUGGCGAACUGGUGAGUAACACGUGGGAAACCUGCCCAGAAGCGGGGGAUAACACCUGGAAACAGAUGCUAAUACCGCAUAACAACUUGGACCGCAUGGUCCGAGUUUGAAAGAUGGCUUCGGCUAUCACUUUUGGAUGGUCCCGCGGCGUAUUAGCUAGAUGGUGGGGUAACGGCUCACCAUGGCAAUGAUACGUAGCCGACCUGAGAGGGUAAUCGGCCACAUUGGGACUGAGACACGGCCCAAACUCCUACGGGAGGCAGCAGUAGGGAAUCUUCCACAAUGGACGAAAGUCUGAUGGAGCAACGCCGCGUGAGUGAAGAAGGGUUUCGGCUCGUAAAACUCUGUUGUUAAAGAAGAACAUAUCUGAGAGUAACUGUUCAGGUAUUGACGGUAUUUAACCAGAAAGCCACGGCUAACUACGUGCCAGCAGCCGCGGUAAUACGUAGGUGGCAAGCGUUGUCCGGAUUUAUUGGGCGUAAAGCGAGCGCAGGCGGUUUUUUAAGUCUGAUGUGAAAGCCUUCGGCUCAACCGAAGAAGUGCAUCGGAAACUGGGAAACUUGAGUGCAGAAGAGGACAGUGGAACUCCAUGUGUAGCGGUGAAAUGCGUAGAUAUAUGGAAGAACCACCCAGUGGCGAAGGCGGCUGUCUGGUCUGUAACUGACGCUGAGGCUCGAAAGUAUGGGUAGCAAACAGGAUUAGAUACCCUGGUAGUCCAUACCGUAAACGAUGAAUGCUAAGUGUUGGAGGGUUUCCGCCCUUCAGUGCUGCAGCUAACGCAUUAAGCAUUCCGCCUGGGGAGUACGGCCGCAAGGCUGAAACUCAAAGGAAUUGACGGGGGCCCGCACAAGCGGUGGAGCAUGUGGUUUAAUUCGAAGCUACGCGAAGAACCUUACCAGGUCUUGACAUACUAUGCAAAUCUAAGAGAUUAGACGUUCCCUUCGGGGACAUGGAUACAGGUGGUGCAUGGUUGUCGUCAGCUCGUGUCGUGAGAUGUUGGGUUAAGUCCCGCAACGAGCGCAACCCUUAUUAUCAGUUGCCAGCAUUAAGUUGGGCACUCUGGUGAGACUGCCGGUGACAAACCGGAGGAAGGUGGGGAUGACGUCAAAUCAUCAUGCCCCUUAUGACCUGGGCUACACACGUGCUACAAUGGAUGGUACAACGAGUUGCGAACUCGCGAGAGUAAGCUAAUCUCUUAAAGCCAUUCUCAGUUCGGAUUGUAGGCUGCAACUCGCCUACAUGAAGUCGGAAUCGCUAGUAAUCGCGGAUCAGCAUGCCGCGGUGAAUACGUUCCCGGGCCUUGUACACACCGCCCGUCACACCAUGAGAGUUUGUAACACCCAAAGUCGGUGGGGUAACCUUUUAGGAACCAGCCGCCUAAGGUGGGACAGAUGAUUAGGGUGAAGUCGUA